rnacentral:rRNA from 1 species
AUUGAACGCUGGCGGCAUGCCUUACACAUCCAAGUCGAACGGUAACAGGUCUUCGGAUGCUGACGAGUGGCGAACGGGUGAGUAAUACAUCGGAACGUGCCCGAUCGUGGGGGAUAACGAGGCGAAAGCUUUGCUAAUACCGCAUACGAUCUACGGAUGAAAGCGGGGGAUCUUCGGACCUCGCGCGGACGGAGCGGCCGAUGGCAGAUUAGGUAGUUGGUGGGAUAAAAGCUUACCAAGCCGACGAUCUGUAGCUGGUCUGAGAGGAUGAUCAGCCACACUGGGACUGAGACACGGCCCAGACUCCUACGGGAGGCAGCAGUGGGGAAUUUUGGACAAUGGGCGAAAGCCUGAUCCAGCCAUGCCGCGUGCAGGAUGAAGGCCUUUGGGUUGUAAACUGCUUUUGUACGGAACGAAAAGCCUCUUUCUAAUAAAGAGGGGUCAUGACGGUACCGUAAGAAUAAGCACCGGCUAACUACGUG